CUGGGCACUUCUUUUGUGGUUUGAGCCUGAAGUGAGGACAGUCUUGUGGGGUCUGUGCUCACCCCGGGUGACAGUGUCAGAACUGAAUUGAGUUGCAGGACACCCAGUGGGUGUUGGAGAGCUGGCCGUGGUGUGAAGAACCCCACGCAUUUGGGGUCAGAAAAAGGACCACACAGGGGCCCAGAGGAGGAACGCGGUUCCACUGUGAUCUGCUCCGUGUCCCCCGCAGCAGGCGGGCAACAACCAGGCCCCUGUCCCUGAUGGUGAGCGACUUUACUCUCCCGCCCCCUCAGGGGCAAAGUCCAGGCGUUUUCCUGCUUGACCUGCUGUGGAGUCUGUCUCCUCUGGCUCAGGUUAGAGAAGCCUGACUCAAACUGGCUUAAAUAAGAAGUUCAAUGACACACUUAUCUGGAAAGACCAGGCAUCAUGUGGGCUUUGGAUGUAGCUGCGUUCAGAAGGACAUUGAAUAUAGUUCCCUGUGCUGUACAGUAGACCUUGUUUCACUCUUCUAUCAACACUGUUACCCGAGGGCAGAGAUGUGAGAUGCAGAAGGAGAGACACCGGGGAAACGUCGAGGGGGACGGGGAGACGUGAUCUCUCAGCACAAUCACAGCCUGCAUCUGAGUGCCUCAAAGUCUGGAACGCUCGACUGGGUUCACUGUUCUGACCCCCGUCGUGUGCCCGCCGCUCGAGGGCCAAGACUGGAUGCGCCCAAGGACCCUGCCCGCCUCGGCCCUGGGAGCUUCCAGCUUUUCGGAUGACAUCACCACUGUCUGAACCCGGGAGCAAGCGUUUGGCCAGAAUGCUCCGAAUUAAGCCAGACACUGUGCUUUUUUUUUUUUUUUUUUUUCAGGAGGGAGAACAUGUGUUCGAACUUUGUAAGAAAGAAACUGCUCAGGCUUCGUGUUUUGAUGACACUUGGCUCCCACCUCCUGUAAGUCCAAAUGUCUGUGGAACAGGGAAAUGAGCCCUGAGCUGAAUGAUAAAGCUGAUAUGAUUCAUGAGUUUGCCAGGAGGAAAGGAACAGGAAACGGAGGGGCUGGUGCCAGGGCGGUGACAUCAUCACUUUGGCAUCCAGUCCCGUCCCGUCCUGGAAAAAUGCAGCCUGCGCCGCCCCGCCCUGAUGAUUUUGAGACAUAGGAGACAGAAGCUAUUUGGUUGCUUGGCCAACUCCUGAGACAAGGAACUGGAUUUUGGAAGUCUUAUCCCCCAGAGCGCCUGAAGGGUGAAAUGUCAGUAUGUGGACGGCCGCCAAGAACUCCAGGAGAAACCAAAGAAGAAACAAAACCCUUCACUUAAAACAGCAGUGGAAUACACACAUAUAUACACAUAUAUCUGCACAUACACAUAUACAUAUAUAUCUAAUCCUAUGUGUAUAUACAUAUGUACCAACACACACACGCACACAGACACGUAUAUAUUUAAUCCUAUGUCCUCUAAGAGACUUCUUAGUGAGGAGGGAAGGCCAGUGCGGGGGAGUUGGUGAUGGGAGGAGGAGAUGGGAUUUUCAGCUCCUUUCACAGAGGAGGACCAAGGGUACAGGGUCCGUGCUGUGCCCACACGGUGACUAUACCUAAGGCUCCUCCACCUGGUCCACAAAGGGACAGUAUUUCACCUUCACAGAACAAGCUUACUGACCCCCUGGUCCAAAGCAAGAGAACUGCCAGGAAAGGGAGGGCCCCUCUGGCCUCCCAGAACCAGAUGUACGAGCCCUCCCCACCACAGACUGCUGACCUCACCGCCUCAGGGCCGUUUGGCUAAGUGAUGCACUGGCUGCGCAGCCUCUGUUCCGGAGUUUCCCGCGGACUUUGCUGGUCCUGUGGCCGGGCUGGACCUCACUUCAGCCCUGAAGCCUCUCCCACCCCCGUGAUGCGGUUCCCUUCUCUCUCUGUGCUCUGUGAGGACAGGUGAGGCUCACUCAUUUUGCAUUCUCAGUACCUACGAUAUAAUAGGUGUUCAAUACACUGAUUUUAAUUAAUAAGUGUGCAAACAAUGGAUUAAAAUUUUAAAUUAAGAAAUGAGUUGAGGCCCUUAUCGCACGCACACAGCCUCCAUCCAGCAGGAAGGGACCCAGACAUGACAGUUUCUGGGCAGCUACAGAUGUAGCCCCACUUCAAGCCAGUAUUCUUUUACCAUGUAGUCCACAUUUAUUUAGUGAGAAGAAAUACAUUUUCUUUUGGUGAAAAUUGUAUAUAUCUUCCACCUAGGGGUUUAUUAGAGACAUUGGAUAGAACGUAGCAUCGAAACUGACAGUAUUUGGAGUUGUCUUUCAUUUCACUCAUUCCAUCACUUGUGACUGGGUUACAAUGAGUCACUCAUAUACACAAAGAAUUGAAAUAACACAGAGCCUUAUUCAGAAUGGAUUUUAAGUUUAUUUUUCUUGGCUUUCAUUAUCCCAAAAACAUUUUCCAUUUUUCUGGAGUCUUUAUUAUCUCUUGGGUCUUCUUUUGCAAUUUUCUGAAUACAACUUCUU